rnacentral:tRNA from 1 species
GGUCGCUUAGCUCAGCUGGGAGAGCACCUGCCUUACAAGCAGGGGGUCGUAGGUUCGAUCCCUACAGCGACCA